rnacentral:rRNA from 1 species
GGCCGCGGGAAUGCGAUUCAGGCGUAACACAUGCAAGUCGAACGGCAGCACGGACUUCGGUCUGGUGGCGAGUGGCGAACGGGUGAGUAAUGUAUCGGAACGUGCCUAGUAGCGGGGGAUAACUACUCGAAAGAGUAGCUAAUACCGCAUACGCCCUACGGGGGAAAGGGGGGGAUCGCAAGACCUCUCACUAUUGGAGCGGCCGAUAUCGGAUUAGCUAGUUGGUGAGGUAAAGGCUCACCAAGGCGACGAUCCGUAGCUGGUUUGAGAGGACGACCAGCCACACUGGGACUGAGACACGGCCCAGACUCCUACGGGAGGCAGCAGUGGGGAAUUUUGGACAAUGGGGGCAACCCUGAUCCAUCCAAGGCGCGUGUGCGAUGAAGGCCUUCGGG